GUCCUGCCAAACCCGUCCCGUCAAA
rnacentral:siRNA from 1 species